GAUGAACGCUGGCGGCGUGCCUAAUACAUGCAAGUCGAGCGAACGGACGAGAAGCUUGCUUCUCUGAUGUUAGCGGCGGACGGGUGAGUAACACGUGGAUAACCUACCUAUAAGACUGGGAUAACUUCGGGAAACCGGAGCUAAUACCGGAUGAUAUUUUGAACCGCAUGGUUCAAAAGUGAAAGACGGUCUUGCUGUCACUUAUAGAUGUAUCCGCGCUGCAUUAGCUAGUUGGUAAGGUAACGGCUUACCAAGGCAACGAUGCAUAGCCGACCUGAGAGGGUGAUCGGCCACACUGGAACUGAGACACGGUCCAGACUCCGACGGGAGGCAGCAGUAGGGAAUCUUCCGCAAUGGGCGAAAGCCUGACGGAGCAACGCCGCGUGAGUGAUGAAGGUCUUCGGAUCGUAAAACUCUGUUAUUAGGGAAGAACAUAUGUGUAAGUAACUGUGCACAUCUUGACGGUACCUAAUCAGAAAGCCACGGCUAACUACGUG
rnacentral:rRNA from 1 species